AUGAUUCCCACCAAGCGUAUGGUAGUGGAGACCUUCACCAACUACCCUCCUCUAGGCCGUUUUGCUGUUCGUGAUAUGAAGCAAACGGUCGUUGUUGGAGUUGUAAGGAGUGUCGUGAAGAUGGAGCCUGUGCCACCUCCAUUGUCAGCGGCUGAGGACAAUCAGCCUCUGCUGCCUCAAUUGACAAAGGCUAGGGACAUCACUGUUGCUAGGGAGGAUAACUCGUUGCCUCCCGCCACCGAACCUAAUGUGGUGGAGUAUAUUUCGGUCGUGGCCACACCUCUUGGUGGUGGCCCACCGACAUUCAUCACAGUGAAGGGAACAGACACCUACGAUGGCCCGUUUAUGGAGAGUGCAGAAAAGAAACUGAAGAGCAAGCGUGAGCUAGUUUUCCUUGUAGGUCCCAGGAAUGAGACUCCGGCGGCAGAUGCGCUUAUGUGCUCGCUGCGUGGCUAUCAAGACAAGGAUACAAACCUGCUGCCCAUGCGGUACUACGAAGCAUAG
rnacentral:rRNA from 1 species